GUACGUGAAACCGUUCAGGGGUAAACGGGAGAAAUCCUGAAUUCGAAGGGGAUGGAUUCAAUUACGUCUGGUUUCGGGCCGCCUGGCCCCGCCAGAUGUCGUCGGUCGCCUGCGGCGAUUCAUUUCGCUUGCGGUGUCGUAACCGGCGGUCACUCGGCGGGGUGGUGUCGCUCCGGCUCCGGCGUAGUGCACUUCCUCCCUUGUAGAAACGUCGCGACCCGUUGGGUGCCGGUCCAAGGCCCUGGGAUGGCAGACCGCGAGUCCUGCGCGGUCACGCGCAGGCGCGCGGACUCCCGGUGACCCGGCCGGCUGCUCGACGGUAUGACCAGAGGAGUCGAUCCGCUGAAUGGGAAACACUAUGGUUGUGUAGCGUCCGGCCCGGCGCCGACACGUGCGGGGAAUGUGGUGUAAACCGGGGGUGUCCGUGCGGAUGCACGGCCCCGGCCCCGCUGCGUCGUCGGAUCCGUCGGUGUCCUCGGACCGGAUCUGUACUCCCGUCGGCGACGCCCACCUUCGGAUGG
rnacentral:rRNA from 1 species